GGCUCAGAUUGAACGCGGGCGGCAUGCCUUACACAUGCAAGUCGAACGGCAGCGCGGGGCAACCUGGCGGCGAGUGGCGAACGGGUGAGUAAUAUAUCGGAACGUACCCUAGAGUGGGGGAUAACGUAGCGAAAGUUACGCUAAUACCGCAUACGAUCUAAGGAUGAAAGUGGGGGAUCGCAAGACCUCAUGCUCGUGGAGCGGCCGAUAUCUGAUUAGCUAGUUGGUGGGGUAAAGGCCUACCAAGGCAACGAUCAGUAGCUGGUCUGAGAGGACGACCAGCCACACUGGAACUGAGACACGGUCCAGACUCCUACGGGAGGCAGCAGUGGGGAAUUUUGGACAAUGGGGGCAACCCUGAUCCAGCAAUGCCGCGUGUGUGAAGAAGGCCUUCGGGUUGUAAAGCACUUUUGUCAGGAACGAAACGGAGAUUGCUAAUAUCGAUCUCUAAUGACGGUACCUGAAGAAUAAGCACCGGCUAACUACGUGCCAGCAGCCGCGGUAAUACGUAGGGUGCAAGCGUUAAUCGGAAUUACUGGGCGUAAAGCGUGCGCAGGCGGUUAUGUAAGUCUGUCGUGAAAUCCCCGGGCUCAACCUGGGAAUUGCGAUGGAGACUGCAUGGCUAGAAUCUGGCAGAGGGGGGUAGAAUUCCACGUGUAGCAGUGAAAUGCGUAGAGAUGUGGAGGAACACCGAUGGCGAAGGCAGCCCCCUGGGCUAAGAUUGACGCUCAUGCACGAAAGCGUGGGGAGCAAACAGGAUUAGAUACCCUGGUAGUCCACGCCCUAAACGAUGUCUACUAGUUGUCGGGACUUAAUUGUCUUGGUAACGCAGCUAACGCGUGAAGUAGACCGCCUGGGGAGUACGGUCGCAAGAUUAAAACUCAAAG
rnacentral:rRNA from 1 species